GCCGGUGUGAAUCCGGCGCGGUCGCGCCACUGUCAGCGAGGCAUUCGCUUGUCCCGCAAGCCAGA
rnacentral:ncRNA from 2 species